rnacentral:sRNA from 1 species
GUGGGGCUGGGGGCAAAUGAGGAAAAACAUAAAUUUGUAAAGGAAACCCGGGAAACCAGAAACAAGACAAUUUCCCAGUUGGAGACCACAAAGGCAGCCGUAAAGUGGAGCGCACGCGUCUUGGCCCCGAAGCCCUUCGCCAUGUAAUUAAUAAAUUGCUGUUGUGCCAAUAAAGUAAAGAGCCCGCGUACCCCUUGAACCCAAAACUCUUGAACCUAACCAACCAACCCAUCAUCUUGUCUCAUUCAAAGAUGCUCGUUUCGUUUCCUUUUUUUCUCCCAAUCAUUUUUGGGCGCAAAAAACCCGAAAAAAUUAAUUUCUCUUAAAGAGUUCAUCGAAAGGCAAACAACAGCGAAGGGAGAGAAAAAGGGAUGAAGAUGAUGAUGCUGGGGAGGGGUUCACGGUGGUAAAGAUCUCUGAAAGAUCAAAGAUUCUCGACCAUUUGGUAGGAAAAUCCCGUAAGAAGUGUGUUCUUUUCUUCAUCCUUUUUUUAGGGUAAAUCUUUGAACUUUCUUCUAUUAAUUGUCAGUGACAUGGGGCGGAGGUUCAAAAGGUGACAAGCUGUUUUUGGUCCAGUAAAAUUGCUGGACCGUCUGCGCAUUUGAUGGACUUUUGACCGUUGGAACUCAAGUAAAACAGAUACUUCCAUGGGAAUCAGCUUUGGACAAAAGUUUCCCAGGAAAAAACUGGAAACUGGUCUGAAAACUACUCUAAUUUCUAAAAUAAAAGUUUUACAAUAUAAAUCCCAAAAA